rnacentral:lncRNA from 1 species
CUAAGUGUCCAGAAAAUUUUUUUUUGGCAAAUGUCAGGCCUUAUAUCUCGGUCAUCUUUAAUGUGUUUUGUGUUCUAAAGGUUGAUAUGUGUAGCUUGUUAUGUGGUAUUUAACCUCCAAAAAGAAUCAGGUCCAUAUAUAUUACGGAUUAAGAGUUAUUUAAGGUCAAAGUGGGUUGACCGGCAUUGACCAGAAAAUUCUGGGCAGCCCAGAAUUUUCUAAGUGUUAAUUUUUCUGACAAGGUUUGACCAUACUUUAGAUGCUUGAUUUCUUGUUUUUAUGAUGAUGUUAAGUGUUAUAGUUGUAGUCCUACAUGUUUUCUACACACUGGAAUUGAUAGAUCACGUAAAUAUUUCACGAUCAUCAAGUUAUAGAGGUCCAAAGUAGGCAUCACGAACUGUUCUUCACGAAGAACAGCUCUGACAGCUACUUUG